GGGUCAUCUUCUGCUAGUGAGCAGCUGUUUUCAGCAUUGAAUUAUAUCAAAUCUGAUACUAGAAACAGACUAACAGAUGAAUUGAGUGCUGCAUGUGUUGCUCUCAAAUUAACAGUAUAAACCAAGGUUUGACAAAUGUGCAGCAUGUAUACAGCCGCAAAAAUCACAUUAAUUGUGCAAAGCAUGCCAACUGCAAACUUUUACUAAUGCAGUGUUUGUGUCCAAGACACUAAUUUAGGAGUUGUUUAAAGUGUGUUAAGCAAGUUUAGUUUUCCUUGUUUAUUUAUUCAGGUUGACAUUUACUGUAACUGUAGAAGCAGAAAAAGGACCCAGAGUAAGUCUUUCCUUCUAUUUGUCUGGCAUGUACUCAUAUUACAAGUUGAGUAUCUCCUUGUACACAUCUUUGGCACAGUUCACAUGCAGUUUUGGUGCAGCUGGACGGACAGAAACCUGAUGAAAAAUGCAUGUCCAUUGACAUACAUACAAAGCUGCACCAAAACCAGAUGCAAUUCUGAUGUAAACUGUGCC